UCAGGUCAAAUUCAAAUUCAGGAUCCACAUUCUUGAAUUCAUCAAAAAAUUUCCAAUUAAGUUGUCCAGUUCAAAAUCCUUUUGAGUCUUGAGUCACAAUUCCCACAUAUCCCAAUUGAAACCAAUCAAUAUAUCUGAAAGGAUGAUUCGACGGUUUGAGAGAAUGUUGGUGGAUUUGGGAGACAGGAUGGAUAUGAUUGCAAAGCGGUGUAGAAAUCUUGUUGACGAAGUUGAUAACCCAACCAUGGGGGGAACCACGUGUGUUGAUCAAUACACCAAUCAAAUUGGAUAAUGUGGAGCAAUCACCGGAGAAGAUCCUUCGAACUUGAUGCCAUGUUGAAGACCAAGUAUGUAGUCUAAUUAUUGAUGGAGAUUGUUGCACUAAUUUUGUUAGCAAUACGGUUGUGGAACAAUUAGGAUUGAAAAUGAUGGCACAUCCUAAACCUUAUAAGUUGCAGUGGUUGAAUGAAUGUGGAGAGGUUAGGGUAUGUAGGCAACUGUUGAUAAAUCUUUCACUUGGGAGGUACCACGAUGAGGUGUUGUGUGAUGUCAUUCCUUUGCAUGCUUGUUACAUUUUGCUGGGUAGCCCAUGGACGUGUGAUAGGAAGGCAAGAUAUGAGGAGUCACAAAUCGUUACAGCUUUACUAAAGAUGGGAAAUAUAUUAAGCUUGCAUCGUUGACACUGCAACAAGCAUAUGAGGAUCAGUGCAAGGUAAAAAGUAAUGCAGAUAGGAGAUUGAGGGAAAAAAGUGAGAAAAAUAUUCCACAAAAAGAGAGCUCGAGAGAAAAUAGUAAGGUGGUUAAUUUUAAGGAAAAAUAAGAAAUGCCACAAAAGAGUGAAAAAGAAAUUGAGGGUGAAAAUCCAAAAUGGGGAAGUGGAGUUACAGAAAGAAAAUGAAGAACAAUCUUUGGAGGGGAAGGGGAGUUGGAAGUAAGCCUAAAUGAAGAGGAGCGUGAAGUUGAGGGGGCUAUGGUGAAAACUAACAAUUCUCUCCCUUGUUUGGCUAGUUCUGUUUUGUAGGUUACCGAAAAUUACAUUAUAGAAAACUAUCCUAUUGGAAUACCACCCGACCCAGGAAUUGAGCUUAUUUUAGAUUUCUCUUAGUUGUCAAAAAUUGACUUUGUGAUUUUCGAGGAGAUAACGAAGUUUCAAAAGGCAUUGGUCAAACUUCAUAUGCAGAGAGUUGAAUGAAGAAGAUGAACUCAGGGGUAACAUUGGAACAUUGGCAGUGACAUUGUUUCAAGUACGUGGGACAAGUAAAGAAAGGAGAAUGCAUGGAUAUUCAACAGAUAGAGUUGCUAUUGGAGCAUUCCAAACUUGCAAGAUCAAGAAAUCAAGGCGAGCACACUUUGAUCCAAGUGAAGUUGAUGGGUUUACAACUGAAGGCGGCAAGUUCGAGUUCAAAUGAUGUCCAAAUUACAUUCGAGAGGCGAUGGGCCAUUUCAUGUUCUUGCCAUGAUCAGAGAUAAAGGCUACAAUUGGAUGAUCAAGGUUCAGAUUCGAGAUCGAAUCCUUUUGAAGAGCAAGGGAAUGAUGUGAUCCACAUGGAGACAAGCUCAGGACGGAAAUUCCAGAUUUUUGUAGUUUCCUUUAGCAUUAAAAUUCCAAUCUUUUAUUAUCUUUUCAAUAUUUGGG
rnacentral:lncRNA from 1 species